rnacentral:misc_RNA from 1 species
GUGAAUCAUCGAAUUUUUGAACGCAAAUUGCACUCUCUUCGGUGAGUAUGCCUGUUUGAGGGUCAGCCUAUGAAAAAUCGACAUCGUUGCUGUUUCGUGUUGGCGAUCGUCGGAAAUUUGGGCAUCUUUAAUCUUUUGAUUUUAAUCGACUUAAAAUUUUCUUUUUGGUUCCGUGAACGUUUCUAAGAUUUUUUUCUUUACACUAUUAUGGUAUCGAUUAUUAUUAGACGUGACCAUCAUAGUGGAG